rnacentral:rRNA from 1 species
GCAAGUCGGACGGCAGCACAGAGAAGCUUGCUUCUUGGGUGGCGAGUGGCGAACGGGUGAGUAACAUAUCGGAACGUACCGAGUAAUGGGGGAUAACUAAUCGAAAGAUUAGCUAAUACCGCAUAUUCUCUGAGGAGGAAAGCAGGCGACCUUCGGGCCUUGCGUUAUUCGAGCGGCCGAUAUCUGAUUAGCUAGUUGGUGGGGUAAAGGCCUACCAAGGCGACGAUCAGUAGCGGGUCUGAGAGGAUGAUCCGCCACACUGGGACUGAGACACGGGCCAGACUCCCUACGGGAGGCAGCAGUGGGGAAUUUUGGACAAUGGGCGCAAGCCUGAUCCAGCCAUGCCGCGUGUCUGAAGAAGGCCUUCGGGUUUGUAAAGGACUUUUGUCAGGGAAGAAAAGGCUGUUGCUAAUAUCGACAGUUGAUGACGGUACCUGAAGAAUAAGCACCGGCUAACUACGUGCCAGCAGCCGCGGUAAUACGUAGGGUGCGAGCGUUAAUCGGAAUUACUGGGCGUAAAGCGAGCGCAGACGGUUACUUAAGCAGGAUGUGAAAUCCCCGGGCUCAACCUGGGAACUGCGUUCUGAACUGGGUGACUAGAGUGUGUCAGAGGGAGGUAGAAUUCCACGUGUAGCAGUGAAAUGCGUAGAGAUGUGGAGGAAUACCGAUGGCGAAGGCAGCCUCCUGGGAUAACACUGACGUUCAUGCUCGAAAGCGUGGGUAGCAAACAGGAUUAGAUACCCUGGUAGUCCACGCCCUAAACGAUGUCAAUUAGCUGUUGGGCAACUUGAUUGCUUAGUAGCGUAGCUAACGCG